GAAAAAAUAUGUAAAAUAUUUUUUUAUGGGAAAAAAAGUUCUCCUGGGGAAAUGUGGCAUAUGUUUUACACGGGUAAUAUUCUUUUCAACAGUUAGUGCUCUAAACUAGAGAAUUAUGAAUCUGAAAACUUUUGAAAACCUUCAUGCAAUGUUCAAAUCUUAGAUAAUGUCAACUAUUAUGCUGGCAGUAACUCUGAAUAUAUGAUAAUGAAGAAACAUUUUCAUUAAACUUUUACUUGUUCACCCUCAAAUAUUAUAUGAUGAAGUCAGGUGUGAAAGCCAGAAGAAUAUGAUGUUGUGCAACAAUUCAUGGAGAUAGAAAUGAUCCAUUCCAAAAGGAAACUAAAUAAAGAGUGUACUAUCGCCUUCAAAAUGUCUAAUAAAACUGGCAGCAUUUUGUAUAUUUAAUUCAAAUGAAGAAAUUGACACAGAUUGUACUUGAUAGUGUAUUUGACAAACUGAGCCACCAAGACUGCAUGUUCUUAAUCCUAUAAUAUGCCUACAGAUGUGAAGUGUGCUUUGAGUAUCCAGUAUUCAUUAUUCUUAUCACGUCAAUGUGACAAAUGAUUUAUUGGUUUCACGUUUCAGGAUAGUGACUGACUAUGAGUCCCUUAUGCUCUGUCAACAUCUCCUUCCUCAUUGCCCUGUAAAUAAAGCUGAAUAUUUUAACAAGGUU
rnacentral:lncRNA from 1 species